CCUACGGGUGGCAGCAGUGGGGAAUAUUGGGCAAUGGAGGAAACUCUGACCCAGCAAUGCCGCGUGAAUGAAGAAGGUCUUCGGAUUGUAAAGUUCUUUAGUCAGGGAAGAAGAAAAUGACGGUACUUGAAGAAUAAGCUCCGGUUAACUACGGGCAAAGAGCCGCCGUAAUACGUAGGGAGCACGCGUUGUUCGGAAUGACUGGGGGGAAAGGGUGCGUAGGCGGUUAUACAAGUUAGAAGUGAAAUACCCAGGGCUUAACUCGGGAGCUGCUUCUAAAACUGUAAGACUUGAGUGCAGUAGAGGGUAGUAGAAUUCCUAGUGUAGCGGUGAAAUGCGUAGAGAUUAGGAGGAACACCGGAGGCGAAGGCGGCUAACUGGACUGCAACUGACGCUGAGGCGCGAAAGUGUGGGGAGCAAACAGGAUUAGAUACCCGAGUAGUC
rnacentral:rRNA from 1 species